UACGGAGGGUGCGAGCGUUGUCCGGAAUCAUUGGGCGUAAAGGGCGCGUAGGUGGCCCGGUCAGUCUUUGGUGAAAGCGCGGGGCUCAACCCUGCGUCGGCCAGGGAUACUGCCGCGGCUCGAGCACUGUAGAGGCAGGCGGAAUUCCGUGGUGAGCGGUGGAAUGCGUAGAGAUCCGGAAGAACACCGGUGGCGAAGGCGGCCUGCUGGGCAGUUUAGCUGACACUGAGGCGCGACAGCGUGGGGAGCAAACAGG
rnacentral:rRNA from 1 species